UCUGAAGGGGGCAGAUUUAAACUUCCCAAGGCAGGAAGGACCUCCUUUUUCUGGUGACAAAGGACCCUUGGUGGAGGACAGGCAGAGCCAGGACUCAGAUUCAACCCCAGAGAGGCCUCCAGGCAUCUCAGGGCCUGCAGCAGCCAGGGAGCUGGCACGGACCCAGCGCCCUGUGUUUGGGAGUGGGAGAACCAGGCUGAAUAGAAGUCUGUCCAGAUGGGUAAACAUGGAGCGGACCUCCUGGGGGAGCCUGCUGAAUGAGAUGUCCACAGAUUUCUGAAUGACCAAGUGACAUAUCACAGAAUCAACCCACAACGUACAUUGGAUCUGAGGGUUGACAUUUCUCUCGGGACCCUCCCUACCAUGCCCUCUCUCAGAGUCCUCACAGCCACUCAGUGAUGCAGGGCCUGUGAUUAUCUCCAUUUUAUAUACAAGAAGACUGAGGCUUAGAGGAAUGAAAUCGUUUCCCCAAGGACACGCAGCUGUUAUUUCCACUGUUUCUGACUCUCGAUUUGAAUGUUUCUUACACUGACAGUUUGGCAAUCAGCUCUCCUGAAUCCCAGCCCCAUGAUAUUUCCACGAAGCCAUGCUGACCCACCAAGGCUGCCUGAGGAUGGAACACCUUGGCUGUUUUGGCUCAGCGGUUGGAGUGUCAGCUUGCGGAGCAGAGAGUCCGGGGUUCAGUUCCUGCUAGGGGCACGUAUCAAAAAAAUAAAAUA